GACGAACGCUGGCGGCGUGCUUAACACAUGCAAGUCGAACGAUGAAGCCUAGCUUGCUAGGUGGAUUAGUGGCGAACGGGUGAGUAAUACGUGAGUGACCUACCUUUGACUCUGGGAUAAGCCUGGGAAACUGGGUCUAAUACCGGAUACGACCAAUCUCCGCAUGGGGUGUUGGUGGAAAGCGUUAUGGAGUGGUUUUAGAUGGGCUCACGGCCUAUCAGCUUGUUGGUGAGGUAAUGGCUUACCAAGGCGACGACGGGUAGCCGGCCUGAGAGGGUGACUGGCCACACUGGGACUGAGACACGGCCCAGACUCCUACGGGAGGCAGCAGUGGGGAAUAUUGCACAAUGGGCGCAAGCCUGAUGCAGCGACGCCGCGUGAGGGAUGACGGCCUUCGGGUUGUAAACCUCUGUUAGCAUCGAAGAAGCGAAAGUGACGGUAGGUGCAGAGAAAGCGCCGGCUAACUACGUG
rnacentral:rRNA from 1 species